AAUUGAAAGUCCCAUCUGUUACCAAACUCCCAUAUUUAAAGCUCCAAAAAGUCCUUCCAUCAGUGGUUUCUUGUUCCUCAAGAAUAAGGGCAAACAAGUCAUUUCAUAUGUUUUAUCAAACCCUACUAUUGCACUACUCUUUUUUUUUUCCCUAUAUAAGGGAUCUCUUUGCUUUUGCCCUUGUGCUUCCUCAUUAUGGAGGAAAGGGAGGGGGAUUGGAAGGAGGUUUAUGAAGAAGUUUUGUUUGGUGAAGAUUUUAUUUUGUGGGAUUAUACUGGAUAUGUUAUUGUUAUAAAGAGUACAUAAUUUUAUUUGUGAUUAUAUUGAAUAUAUUAUUGUUAUGGAGAAUAUAUAAAAAUAGAUCUAGAUCUAUUUGAAGUCAAUUGACACUAUUUUAUUUAAUUGCUGUGGAGUGCUAGAUCUAUUUCUUUGCAUAAGAAGUACUAAUUGAGAGAUUUGAAUGAAAACACAAAAGGAUGAGAGAUCAAAGAAACAUGGGUUUGGAAGAAUUGGGAGGACUUAUUCUUUCAUGUUUUGCUCGAAGAUAAUGUUGAGGUUUACACAUCAAGUACAAACGUGAUUUUGUUUUGAUAGAAGUUUACACACAAUUCAACUAUGGAUUGAGACGUAUCUUUUGAAGAUGGUCACCAUGACUCAAAUCGUGGUUGCUGCAGAUUCAUUUUUAUUGAGAAAGACAUGCAAUAAUGGUGAAGAGGGCCUAAGCUGCAAGAAAUGUGACCUAACUGCUACUCUGCUGCUUAAGAAAACUGUUUGUACUGCUAUUCUCUAAACUAUCACAGGACCAAUACAAGUCAGUAAGAAAUGGAGGCUAGGCUUAUCGCCAGAUUAAAAUGACGCAUUUUGAUAUGGUACCUCUAGUUUGUCUUCUCUGGCCUUGUGGCCUUUCGGCAAUUUCCUGAACUCAUCUGUGAGAUUGAAGCAUUCUCGAAUGUUUUCAGGAGAAACAAAAUCAGCCGCAACUUUUGUACAUGACUGGAAAGAUGAAAAAAGUUGGUUACUGGAUGAACUUGAUCAUCUGGAUUUUCAUGGAAAAUAUAAGUAUGAUUCUUUACCUUGAGAUUACGCACUUGGUGAGGGCAUCCUGCUGGAAUGAAAACUGCCUCUCCAAGUCUUUGCUCAAACGUCCAAGGUUCAACCCCUAUUAAACAUCCACAUUUUGAAUUUAAUAAGUAAAAUGUUCUUUUCUGGUUCUAAAGGAAAGAUAGAGAACAAGGUAAAUUACUAACCAUAUUCUUCCUUCAGUUUUCUCUUGUGCUCCAAAGUUAAGUAGAAGAUUUGGUCAUGGAUUGGGUGAAAAACCUCAUCAACGGGAUAACAGUAAGUGUGCCUAAAUUCCUUUGCGUGCUUUAAAAGAUAGUCCUUCAACUUGGGUACGUCUUCCCUUCUAAAGAUGUCCCACAAGGCACCUCCAGUCGUCUCUGAAUCAUCUGAUGUUUUCUCCUCCCUUCCGAUAUCACUAGACAUCUUCAUAGGAAAUUCAUUGCCCUCACGCUCGAGACGUUCUCUUUCAUCUUGAGCUCUAUGCCUCUGUUUCAGUAUUUCAAUUGCAGACUGCUGCUCAUCAGUUACAGCCACCUCUGCUGUGUGUGUCAAAAUAUUUAUCUGAGCAAUUCAAAAUUUCGAAAACAUUAGCUUGUGAUCAAAUAAGCAUGAAAAAGUAAGCUGCAAUCUUAGCAGGUAACGCAUCAAGGACGGAACGCAAAAAAUGGGAAAAGUGAUAAACUGCUACCAAGAUGAGAUGAAUCAUAAAACUAGAUUGUAGCAUGUGGAUUAGUUUACCUGAAAUGUGAGAAUUGUCAAACUUAUCGUAUAGGACUAGCCAUGAGGUUUAUGAGCCUCAUGUAAACAACACAAGGAAUGUGCUAUAUUUUCGAAAAAUGCCAGCUUUUGCUGCCCUUUUGGUAUUUUCAUACAAUUGAGUAUAAACCAGGUCUAUUCAGAAGUCAACAUACAUAUUAAGGGGGUGGCAUUGACAUGAAAAUGAAGUGAAGUGGUCAAAUGAACAAACUAAAUUGUGAUUUCAAGUAUAAACCAGGUCUAUUCAGAAGUCAACAUACAUAUUAAGGGGGUGGCAUUGACAUGAAAAUGAAGUGAAGUCGUCAAAUGAACAAACUACAAUAGUCCUGUUGAAAUCAUACCGCAUCGGAC